rnacentral:rRNA from 1 species
GGGGAAUAUUGGGCAAUGGGCGCAAGCCUGACCCAGCCACGCCGCGUGAGUGAUGAAGGCCUUCGGGUCGUAAAGCUCUGUGGGGAGGGACGAAACUACGCUGGCCAAUAUCCAGCGGACUGACGGUACCUCCUUAGCAAGCACCGGCUAACUCCGUGCCAGCAGCCGCGGUAAUACGGAGGGUGCAAACGUUGCUCGGAAUUAUUGGGCGUAAAGUGCACGUAGGCGGUCCAGCAAGUCGGGUGUGAAAGCCCUCGGCUUAACCGAGGAAGUGCAUUCGAAACUACUGGACCUGAAUACUGGAGAGGAUCGCGGAAUUCCCGGUGUAGAGGUGAAAUUCGUAGAUAUCGGGAGGAACACCAGUGGCGAAGGCGGCGAUCUGGACAGAUAUUGACGCUGAGGUGCGAAAGCGUGGGGAGCAAAC